GGGGACACGCUCAAGACCAGCAACCCUCUAGUCUUAGAAGAGGCAUCAGCCAGCCAGGCAGGCAGCAGAAAGGAGAGUCGAUUGGAAUCAUCUGGCAAGAACAAAUCCUAUGAUGUGCGAAUUGAGAACUUCGAUGUGUCUUUCGGCGACAGAGUACUGCUGGCUGGAGCUGAUGUGAACCUGGCAUGGGGCCGCCGUUACUGGCUGGUGGGGCGGAAUGGGCUGGGGAAGACCCCGUUACUGAAGAUGCUGGCCACCCCGAGUCUGCGGGUUCCAGCCCACAUUUCCUUGCUGCAUGUUGAGCAAGAGGUUGCUGGAGAUGACACCCCUGCCCUACAGAGUGUGCUGGAGAGUGACAGUGUGCGGGAGGGCCUGUUACGGCGGGAGGGGGAACUCAGCGUCCAGAUUGCUGCUGGCAGGGCGGAGGGCUCUUAAGCCACAGAACUGGCAGAAAUCUAUGCCAAACUGGAGGAGAUUGAGGCCGACAAGGCACCUGCCAGAGCAUCAGUCAUUCUCGCUGGGCUUGGCUUUACCCCUAAAAUGCAGCAGCAGCCCACCCGGGAGUUCUCGGGUGGCUGGAGGAUGAGGCUGGCCCUGGCCUGGGCCCUAUUUGAUAGACCAGAUCUGCUGCUGUUAGAUGAACCUACAAACAUGCUGGAUGUCAGGGCCAUCCUGUGGCUGGAUAAUUACCUGCAGAUAUGGCCCUCCACAAUCCUGGUCGUCUCUCACGACCGCAACUUCCUGAAUGCCAUCGCCACAGACAUCAUCCACGUGCAUAGCCAGCAGCUAGAUGGUUACCGGGGAGACUUUGAGACCUUCAUCAAGAGUAAGCAGGAGCGGCUGCUCAACCAGCAGCGGCUGCUCAACCAGCAGCGGGAAUAUGAGGCCCAGCAGCAGUAUCACCAGCACAUCCAGGUUUUCAUUGACCGGUUUCGCUACAAUGCCAACAGGGCCUCUCAAGUGCAGAGUAAACUCAAGAUGCUGGAGAAGCUACCUGAGCUGAAGCCUGUGGACAAGGAAUCAGAGGUGGUAAUGAAGUUCCCUGAUGGGUUUGAGAAGUUCUCGCCACCAAUUCUGCAGCUAGAUGAGGUGGAUUUCUACUAUGAUCCGAAGCACGUCAUCUUCAGUCGCCUCUCCGUGUCUGUUGAUCUCGAGUCCCGCAUCUGUGUGGUUGGAGAGAAUGGGGUCGGGAAGUCUACCAUGCUGAAGCUGCUUAUGCGGGACCUGGCAUCUGUUCGGGGCAUCAGACAUGCUCACAGGAAUCUGAAAAUUGGCUAUUUCAGCCAGCACCACGUGGAGCAGCUGGAUCUAAACGUCAGUGCUGUGGAGCUGCUGGCACGCAAGUUUCCUGGGCGGCCUGAGGAGGAGUACCGCCACCAGCUGGGUCGGUAUGGCAUCUCCGGAGAACUGGCCAUGCGCCCUGUCGCCAGCUUGUCUGGGGGCCAGAAGAGCCGAGUGGCGCUUGCUCAGAUGACCGUGCCCUGCCCCAACUUCUACAUUCUGGAUGAACCCACAAACCACCUGGAAAUGGAGACCAUUGAGGCUCUGGGCCGUGCCCUCAACAAUUUCAGAGGCAGCGUGAUUCUGGUGUCCCACGAUGAGCGCUUCAUCAGGCUGGUGUGCCAGGAGUUGUGGGUGUGUGAGGGAGGCGGCGUCACCCGCGUGGAAGGAGGAUUUGACCAGUACCGCGCCCUCCUCCAGGAGCAGUUCCGCCGUGAAGGUUUCCUCUAGGGCCACCAGGCUUAGGACU